AUAACAUGCCGCGCCCCACAGAUUGAAAACCACUGAGACAGAAAAUAAUACUCAAUACUCAAUAAACAUACACAAACAGUGUAUAAGCACUUUGUUUCCUUUUUAGUACACUGUUAGCAAUUGAUGUAAUUUUUACAAUAAAUUUUACAACAACGCACUGUAUUCAUGUUUUUGUUGUAAAUCCAAAUGCAUGAUGGGAAAUUAACGGACAUUCCUGUAAAAUUAUUGUAACUACACUGUAGAAGCAUUUUUUUACAGCAACCGCAUAGCAUUGUGGGAUCGCUGCUGUUUGAAUUUUGAAAUUACGCGGCCAACGGACGGUACCAGAAGUAUUUUAACAUUUUUUUGGAAGAAAGAACAUGUCUCAGGUAUGUAACAUAAAAUUUGUUUUAUAAGUCUUUAUAUAUUAAUACUGGUGAUUUGAGUGAGUGCUGAUUGUUUCAUUUGGUAUAAUUCAGUGGAAUAGGGUGAAGUUAGUUAAAAUCGCGUCUUCAUACUCUAUCCAGAUUUACAUCGCAAGAACUUUAACGUUACCCAGAAACUAUGGACUUUGAGCUGGAACUCGGUGUGCUUCCACCGCAGCUACCAUGAUCUAAAUAAAGUUCUGGGUAAAAAAAAAAAUGCCCCUCAGAAAGUCCCUGCUCGCGAGGUAUUUGUUCAAAGGAGAGGCACUAAGUGCAGACAAAUGGAUGAUGUCUUUGGAAGGGACAACUGUGAUGGGGCCCCACAACAACCUUCUGAAUGGAGUGCAGCGACCUUCGCUGUCUACGUGUCUAACUAACAGUAUCCUAAAGAGGCCUCAAGCACUAAAGUGUUACAAGCUCUUGGUGAAUGAAGAAGAUCUGUAUAGGGUGGCCAUAUGCGCCGUUCAUACGGGACACCUCCCCGCCAGGAUUUUAAUAUUGCCUAACACAUACAGGUCGAUCGAGAGCUAAAGAGAGCAGAACAGACAGCUCCUUAUGCUUUUGAAAUUGCUCUCAUGUGUUUGUUCGUUCGUUUGAAUUGAAGCGUCACUCUUAAACGCUGUUUCUUUAAAAAGUGAAACUACUUUGUUUGGCCUUCCAAAAGAGAACACGACUAGAAAUCAUGUUUAUAUCACAUUUAUAAUGGGUUUUGACAUUAUAAUGAAAUAAACAUUAUAUUUAAAUGUUUGUCUCGUUGCUUCGGCCGGACAGGGCACAGUAUGUUAAGAGGCAUAACAUUUCAGUCACAUGAUAGAUAGAUUGGAAAGCUGGUCAAUCAGAGCACACUUCGCUUUUCAGAACGAUGAGCUUUGUAAAAAUCAACACGUUUCAGAAGGCGAGGAGAGGAGUACUUGUAGAGGAGAAACAAUAAUGUGUUUUUUUAACCUUAAACCGCUUAAACAUUUCAUUACACCAAAUACACAAAAUAAUUAGCAUAUGCAAUUAUAAUAUUAGCAUGUUCCCCCUGAUGAUAGACUGUCUGGACGUCUGGAAGUGAGCUAGAUUCUUCAGUGAAAUUGUAAUUUUGUUUGUAUGAAAAAAAAAAAGAUAAAAUAAGUUUGUAAUAUGUGAUGUUGCAUAGUGUGUUAAUAAAAAAAUAAUAAUAAAAAGUUGCCAUUGUUUUGGUUUUAAUUUUGGAAGAUGGAAAAUCACAGUAUUUUAUUAUAUUUAGAAAUUACAAUAUAUUUUGAAUUACAAUAUUGUAAUUGUCUCCUGUAAAAUUACAGGAAAUUCCUGGCA
ensembl:lncRNA